GAUGAACGCUGGCGGCGUGCCUAAUACAUGCAAGUCGAGCGAACGGACGAGAAGCUUGCUUCUCUGAUGUUAGCGGCGGACGGGUGAGUAACACGUGGAUAACCUACCUAUAAGACUGGGAUAACGGGAAACCGUAGCUAAUACCGGAUAAUAUUUUGAACCGCAUGGUUCAAAAGUGAAAGACGGUCUUGCUGUCACUUAUAGAUGGAUCCGCGCUGCAUUAGCUAGUUGGUAAGGUAACGGCUUACCAAGGCAACGAUGCAUAGCCGACCUGAGAGGGUGAUCGGCCACACUGGAACUGAGACACGGUCCAGACUCCUACGGGAGGCAGCAGUAGGGAAUCUUCCGCAAUGGGCGAAAGCCUGACGGAGCAACGCCGCGUGAGUGAUGAAGGUCUUCGGAUCGUAAAACUCUGUUAUUAGGGAAGAACAUAUGUGUAAGUAACUGUGCACAUCUUGACGGUACCUAAUCAGAAAGCCACGGCUAACUACGUG
rnacentral:rRNA from 1 species